rnacentral:misc_RNA from 1 species
GAAAUGCGAUAAGUAAUGUGAAUUGCAGGAUUCAGUGAAUCAUCGAAUCUUUGAACGCACAUUGCGCCCGCCAGUAUUCUGGCGGGCAUGCCUGUCCGAGCGUCAUUACAACCCUCAGGCCCCCCGGGCCUGGUGUUGGGGAUCGGCGGAGCCCUCUGGGCACACGCCGUCCCCCAAAUUCAGUGGCGGUCUCGCUGCAGCCUCCAUUGCGUAGUAGCUAACACCUCGCAACUGGAAGGCGGCGCGGCCAUGCCGUAAAACCCCCAACUUCUGAAUGUUGACCUCGGAUCAGGUAGGAAUACCCGCUGAACUUAAGC